rnacentral:rRNA from 1 species
GACGAACGCUGGCGGCGUGCUUAACACAUGCAAGUCGAACGAAAAGAGGGAAAGAGCUUGCUCUUUCCGGAAUUGAGUGGCAAACGGGUGAGUAACACGUAAACAACCUGCCUUCAGGAUGGGGACAACAGACGGAAACGACUGCUAAUACCGAAUAAGUUCCAAGAGCCGCAUGGCCCAUGGAAGAAAAGGUGGCCUCUACCUGUAAGCUAUCGCCUGAAGAGGGGUUUGCGUCUGAUUAGCUGGUUGGAGGGGUAACGGCCCACCAAGGCGACGAUCAGUAGCCGGUCUGAGAGGAUGAACGGCCACACUGGAACUGAGACACGGUCCAGACUCCUACGGGAGGCAGCAGUGGGGAAUCUUCCGCAAUGGGCGAAAGCCUGACGGAGCAACGCCGCGGGAGUGAUGACGGCCUUCGGGUUGUAAAACUCUGUGAGCCGGGACGAAAAGGCAGAGUGCGAAGAACAAACUGCAUUGACGGUACCGGAAAAGCAAGCCACGGCUAACUACGUG